AUUGAACGCUGGCGGCAUGCUUUACACAUGCAAGUCGAACGGUAACAGGCCUUCGGGUGCUGACGAGUGGCGAACGGGUGAGUAAUGCAUCGGAACGUGCCCAGAGGUGGGGGAUAACGCAGCGAAAGCUGUGCUAAUACCGCAUGUGAUCUGAGGAUGAAAGCGGGGGACCAGGCAGCAAUGUUUGGCCUCGCGCCUUUGGAGCGGCCGAUGUCAGAUUAGGUAGUUGGUGGGGUAAAGGCCUACCAAGCCGACGAUCUGUAGCUGGUCUGAGAGGACGACCAGCCACACUGGGACUGAGACACGGCCCAGACUCCUACGGGAGGCAGCAGUGGGGAAUUUUGGACAAUGGGCGCAAGCCUGAUCCAGCAAUGCCGCGUGCGGGAAGAAGGCCUUCGGGUUGUAAACCGCUUUUGUACGGAACGAAAAGGCUCUGGCUAAUACCUGGGGGUGAUGACGGUACCGUAAGAAUAAGCACCGGCUAACUACGUG
rnacentral:rRNA from 1 species